rnacentral:rRNA from 1 species
GACGAACGCUGGCGGCGUGCCUAAUACAUGCAAGUCGAGCGGACUGAUGGGAGCUUGCUCCCUGAGGUUAGCGGCGGACGGGUGAGUAACACGUGGGCAACCUACCUGUAAGACUGGGAUAACUCCGGGAAACCGGGGCUAAUACCGGAUAACCCGUUCCACCUCAUGGUGGACGCGGCAAAAGAUGGCCUCUGGCUAUCACUUACAGAUGGGCCCGCGGCGCAUUAGCUAGUUGGUAAGGUAACGGCUUACCAAGGCGACCGAUGCGUAGCCGACCUGAGAGGGUGAUCGGCCACACUGGGACUGAGACACGGCCCAGCACUCCUACGGGAGGCAGCAGUAGGGAAUCUUCCGCAAUGGACGAAAGUCUGACGGAGCAACGCCGCGUGGAGUGAUGAAGGUUUUCGGAUCGUAAAGCUCUGUUGUUAGGGAAGAACAAGUGCCGUUUGAAUAAGGCGGCACCUUGACGGUACCUAACCAGAAAGCCACGGCUAACUACGUGCCAGCAGCCGCGGUAAUACGUAGGUGGCAAGCGCUGUCCGGAAUUAUUGGGCGUAAAGCGCGCGCAGGCGGUUUCUUAAGUCUGAUGUGAAAGCCCCCGGCUCAACCGGGGGAGGGUCAUUGGAAACUGGGGAACUUGAGUGCAGAAGAGGAGAGUGGAAUUCCACGUGUAGCGGUGAAAUGCGUAGAUAUGUGGAGGAACACCAGUGGCGAAGGCGACUCUCUGGUCUGUAACUG